rnacentral:lncRNA from 1 species
UGUAGGAAGCCGGUUCCUGCAUUAUAAUGCUGCCUGAAGACACCAAGGUGUGAAUUACUUCACAGGCGCUGGGUAAUCUCCAUUCCUUUGAUCUCUGCCUAUCCCGUGGCUCAUUUUAGCCUGAGGAGCUGAAGCCAUUCAUAGGAAGGAUCCGAGUGUCCUGCGUGUAUUUCUUGCUGGCGAGGAAUACAGAGCGGGCGCGGGACAUAUGGUGCCGAAACCCGGGACGCUUAACAUCUCCAGCACCACGGAGACCCCUUGGCUACAAGGCGGAUUCAGAACUGCAGGAUGGUAAAUUCGGAGAGGAUAAAGAAAAUCCUCUGUGGAUCCCAGAAAGACUCAACCUAAAGAGCCUCUCCAGACCUUCAAAAGUCGGAACUCCACCCUCUACCCCCGGGAGUUGAGAGCCGCUAUUGUUAUCCAGAUUAACUCCUGUCCUUGGCGGAGAGAUGGCAACUGAUUAAGGGGUGGGGGUGAUUGUUCGAUGCAGCCGUUUGCAGAUUGCUGUUAUUUUUGGCUGGUCUGUGAGAAAAGGGGUGGAUAUAAUUGUUUGAUGCAGCCGCCUGCGAAUUGCUGUUACUUCUUUGGCUGGCAUGUAAGCUCCAGGGCUCAAACCAAGAGAUCACCCAAGCGCUUAUAUUUUGGCUACUAGCAAUAGGCCGCCGGCCAGACAGCUCUUACACACCCGGAGCCUAGGCUCAUUGCACAGGGUAGAGUGUCUGGUUUGUGCAGCCCCAAAGAGGGAUGCUGAGCAUAGGCAUCGCACAGAGUUGCCUAUUAUACAGGCUUCUCUGGGAGGUACGUUGACCUGCAUAAGGGUUACCUGCCCCAGUCCCCCUUUCCCAGAAAAACGGCAGAGGACAGGUCGGGAGUACUUCGGGUCAAG